GAUGAAGAACGUAGCGAAAUGCGAUAAGUAAUGUGAAUUGCAGAAUUCAGUGAAUCAUCGAAUCUUUGAACGCACAUUGCGCCCGCCAGUAUUCUGGCGGGCAUGCCUGUUCGAGCGUCAUUUCAACCAUCAAGCCCCCGGGCUUGUGUUGGGGACCUGCGGCUGCCGCAGGCCCUGAAAAGCAGUGGCGGGCUCGCUGUCACACCGAGCGUAGUAGAUUUUAUCUCGCUCUGGGCGUGCUGCGGGUUCCGGCCGUUAAACCACCCUUUUAACCCAAGGUUGACCUCGGAUCAGGUAGGAAGACCCGCUGAACUUAAGCAUAUCAAUAAGCGGAAGA
rnacentral:misc_RNA from 1 species